AAACUAUGUUGUGGGCAUGAACUAACGAGAUCCUUUAACCGCUCCCAACAUUAGAAGAAUGUUUCGUAUUCCUUUUGGGCAAAGUUCAUGAUCAACUUCCUAAUAGU